CGGGAGGUGGAAGAGGACUUGGAUGAAUUGUAUGACAGUCUGGAGAUGUACAACCCCAGCGACAGUGGCCCUGAGAUGGAGGAGACAGAAAGCAUCCUCAGCACUCCAAAGCCCAAGCUCAAGCCUUUCUUUGAGGGGAUGUCGCAGUCCAGCUCCCAGACGGAGAUUGGCAGCCUCAACAGCAAGGGCAGCCUCGGAAAAGACACCACCAGCCCUGUGAGCACGACCGCGACUAUGGGGCGGGGCGGGACCGUGGCAUGUCAGGGCUUGGCGCUCCAGCCCUCUGCAUCUCUGAUCAGGGCUCAUGUUGUGACCUUAGAAAAGUGGCCCCAUUGGCUGGGCACGGUGGAUCAUGACUAAUCCUAGCACUUUGGGAGGUGGAGUCGGGCAGAUCAUGAGGUCAAGAGAUCGAGAGCAUCCUGGCCAACAUGGUGACACCCCAUCUCUACAAAAAUACAAAAAUCACCCGGGCAUGGUGGUGUGCACCUGUAGUCCCAGCUACUCAGGAGGCUGAGGCAGGAGAAUCACUUGAAGCCGGAAGGCAGAGGUUGCAGUGAGCCAAGAUUGAGCCACUGCACUCCAGCCUGGCGACAGAGCAAGACUCCCUCA
rnacentral:sRNA from 1 species